rnacentral:lncRNA from 1 species
CUUGUUGCUCAUCCGUUCCACAUAUAAGAGCUUGUCUGCUGGCCCCAGCUUGCACUCCAUCCUGCCCUGCUCCCCUGCCCCUUGGCCACCUGUCUGUUCUCAUGGAUAAGCUCGUCUGUGUCAUGCUUUAGCUUCCAUAUAUCACAUAUAAGUGAUGUCAUGUGCUCUUAGAGCCAGGCUCAGAGUUUUCAAAACCAGACCUGGUCCCUGGAGAGGCCCCACUGCAGGCUCCUCCAUCGCCUACUCUGAACACUGCCCAGAGUGAAGGGUCUGCACACCAUUCUUCUUGCACUCAGCCUCCAGUGGUCACCCCAGCAUGUGACACGGUAAGUAACUCCCAGGACACUACUCGUGGCAGUGUCAGAAGCCACCAACCCUGAUUUGAGUAAAUGCACGUGGUCGCGGUGUAGAAGGAGCGGCCACGCAGCUGAGACAUGGUGUCACAGGGGUCAGGAGGACAGUGGCGUGCCACCUGAGCCCAGUGAGUCCUUGAGGCAGAGCCAGGGCUCAUGAGGAUGUGUGGGCCCUGAAAGGGGAGC